GGGCGUAAAGCGAGCGCAGACGGUUUAUUAAGUCUGAUGUGAAAUCCCGAGGCCCAACCUCGGAACUGCAUUGGAAACUGAUUUACUUGAGUGCGAUAGAGGCAAGUGGAACUCCAUGUGUAGCGGUGAAAUGCGUAGAUAUGUGGAAGAACACCAGUGGCGAAAGCGGCUUGCUAGAUCGUAACUGACGUUGAGGCUCGAAAGUAUGGGUAGCAAACGGGAUUAGAUACCCCGGUAGUCCAUACCGUAAACGAUGGGUGCUAGUUGUUAAGAGGUUUCCGCCUCCUAGUGACGUAGCAAACGCAUUAAGCACCCCGCCUGAGGAGUACGGCCGCAAGGCUAAAACUUAAAGGAAUUGACGGGGACCCGCACAAGCGGUGGAGCAUGUGGUUUAAUUCGAAGAUACGCGAAAAACCUUACCAGGUCUUGACAUACCAAUGAUCGCUUUUGUAAUGAAAGCUUUUCUUCGGAACAUUGGAUACAGGUGGUGCAUGGUCGUCGUC
rnacentral:rRNA from 1 species